UCCCUCUCAGGUUCGCACCUGGAGAAUUUCCAGUACUCUACCAGUUUUCGACUACGGGAGGGAGAGACAAGCAGAGGCCUACCCAUUCCAUUCCUAGCUUGGGCAGUAGCUAGUGAAUGGAAGGCAAUCAGCUACAUAU